rnacentral:rRNA from 1 species
UACGUAGGGGGCUAGCGUUGUCCGGAUUUAUUGGGCGUAAAGAGCGUGUAGGCGGCCAGGUAGGUCUGGUGUGAAAACUCGAGGCUUAACCUCGAGAUGUCAUCGGAAACCAUCUGGCUAGAGUCCGGAAGAGGAGAGUGGAAUUCCUGGUGUAGCGGUGAAAUGCGCAGAUAUCAGGAAGAAUACCAAUGGCGAAAGCAGCUCUCUGGGACGGUACUGACGCUGAGACGCGAAAGCGUGGGGAGCGAACAGG